rnacentral:rRNA from 1 species
CAGUCGCCACGGUAAUACGUAGGGUGCAAGCGUUAUCCGGAAUUAUUGGGCGUAAAGCGCGCGUAGGUGGUUUGUUAAGUUGGAUGUGAAAUCCCCGGGCUCAACCUGGGAACUGCAUUCAAAACUGACUGACUAGAGUAUGAUAGAGGGUGGUGGAAUUUCCUGUGUAGCGGUGAAAUGCGUAGAUAUAGGAAGGAACACCAGUGGCGAAGGCGACCACCUGGACUAAUACUGACACUGAGGUGCGAAAGCGUGGGGAGCAAACAGGAUUAGAUACCCGUGUAGUCCCUGUCUCUUAUAC